GAUUCCAUCUCUGCAGCCCACGGGACAUCGGGAAGAUGCCAGACCACCAGGCAGGAUAGUCUGCAAGGGUAAGGGGAGGAGCACAGCUUUUCUCAGGAGUGAAGAAACGGAACAUGAAAUCAUCACGGAGAUUUUUGGAAUAGUUUACUAGUUUUUAAGGCAUGUUCAGCGUCAAUUGGUCCAAUCAGUAAUUUUUCCUUUUGACAAGAAAGCUUAUAGAAAAGGAAAAUGAAAAGCAAGUAGAUUCAGAGGGGAGACAACAGACAGACUAGAGACAGUCCGCCCCGAAGCAAGAAGUUGGAGUAGAGGAGAAGGGAACUUCCCCAGCAGCACAGGGUUUGAGCUAAGUGUUAGGUGGUGGGUUAGAAUUAGGUGGUGGGUUUUAUUGUGUGAUUAGAGGCUAGAAUGACUAUGCCGGUGAUGAGCAGUGUGAAACUUUUUUGGAAGAACCAAGUGAAAGAAAGAGUCCACGAAUUUUAAGCUAGGUUGUUACCUGGCUAAAUUUGUGAUUUAGAAAUGUAGGCCAGUUUCACAGGGGAAUUUUGUGUGUGUGUGUGUGUGUGUGUGUGUGUGUGUGUGUGUGUGUAUUUAACAUAUUUGGCCACGCAUUGUUCUAGUCUUUGGGGAUAUUGCCCGCCCUUAGGCAUUUGGAGAUUAGCAGGGUCAUAUUGAAAAACUUCAUACAUGCAAAGCAUAUGUUCACUGUUGAUCCAAGUCUUAUUUAUCCUACCAGUAAUUUUGGGGUUACAUUAAUAUUCUAAGAAAUGUAUCAACAAAUAAUUAUAUUUAUUGUUUACCUAUAUAGGAGGCACUGAUCUAUAUCUAUACCUAUAUAGGAGGGCAGAUCACUUGAAGUCAGGAAUUCAAAACCAGCAUGGCUAACAUAGUGUGAAACCCCGUCUCUACUAACAGUACAAAAAUUAGGGGGGGCGUGGUAGCAUGUGCCCGUAGUCCCAGCUACUCGGGAGGCUGAGGCAGAAUUGCUGGAAGCCAGGAGGCAAAGGUUGCAGUGAGCCUAGAUCACCUCACUGCACUCCAGCCUGGGCAACAGAGCAAAACUCCGUCGCAAAUAAAAUUAAAAAAUAAACUAAAAUACACUAUGCCAAUGAAUUCUACCUUCAGGUAUACCUGACUACUUUUUAUAGACUAAAAUUUUUACUCUGGAGCUAUCUGCUGUUAUUACCUUUAGACUUACAAACUAUUUUUGCAAAUGGACAUAUCAUCUUGAUUUUAUACAAUUUACUUUCAGUCCUUUUUGCUCUUUUUACAAAAUUCUGGAAGUGCAUUUGUGUUUUAAUAGAAAUACUGGGUGGAAGUGGCCAUAACUUUCUCCUGCUUUCACCCUCACCCCUUUUCUCCCUUCAAAAUGAUCUCAUUUUAUUUCUCUUGAUAGCACAGAUUCCGCCCCCCCCCCCCCCCCCAGACAGAGUCUCACUCUGUUGCCCAGGCUGGAGUGCAACGGCGAGAUCUUGGCUCACUGCAACCUCCGCCUCCCAGGUUCAAGCGAUUAUCUUGCCUCAGUUUCCCGAAUGACUGGUAUUACAAGUGCCUGCCACCAUGCCCAGCUAAUUUUUGUAUUUUUAGUAGAGAUGGGGUUUCAACAUGUUGGCCAGGCUGGUCUGGAACUCCCGACCUUGGGCGAUCCACCUGCCUCGGCCUCCUAAAGUGCUAGGAUUACAGGUGUGAGCCACCACGCCCGGCUGAUAGCACAGAAUUUAACAGCUUGAAGGAAUCAAAAAGUUCAGAUCACUGUUAUUUUACAAAUAGCUAAAUGGAUGCAAAGCUUACUUUGCUCAAAUCAUUAGACUCAGAACAAGAUUCCAUUAUGCUCUUGUUUGUUUCCAUUAUACCAUAUAUCUCUUUGUCAUCUAUUUUCUCAUUAGCCACGUGUAUUAAUUUGACUUAAUUUGGAGCAAAAAUAGGGCUCUUUUAACUUAUUUAUUUGUAUAUUUCAUAAUCUCUUUUAAAUUGUUAAAAAGUUGAAUGUGCUAAAUUGUCUCCUGUCUCAUAAAUUUUUUUUUUUUUUUUUUUUUUUAAAGAGUAGUUCAGUGCUUUGCAAUAAUUGCUGUGUGAUUCUGGACCACAGCAAUUCAAUCUAGCAAUUGUUACAGCCUGCUGAAGAACGCUUGCACAGAAUAAUUGCCUGCUUCAGAUUCUCCCAUCCUUUGGGAAACUGAGAGUAGCUCUGGGAUUGAAAAGUGGAGGUUUAUUUAACUGUGGUUAGGGACUUGGCAAUCAUAUGUUUGGUCUCUGCUGUUAUCUAGUAUCUUUAAGUCUAGAAGUUGGAAGUAAAGAGGUCAGUGGACCUAAGAAAAUGGCAUGGCUUUCUACCCUAGAUGAGCUGGAAAAACUUAGUAAUUCUUCAAGUGCUUAAUACAAAGGAGCAAAUCUCACAACUCAAUGCCUAUGAAUUGUAAUAUAUCAUGUCACUACUUUCUUGAUAUUACCUGAGGUAUAAGUACAGUUGGGAGAAGACCUUAUCUCUAUCUUCAGGAAUAUAAGUGAAGGAAAGGAAAUUUUUUUCUUUUUUUUGAGACAGUCUUACUCUGUCGCCAAGGCUGGAGUGCAGUGGCACUGUGUCAGCUCACUGCAACCUCUGUCUCCUUUGUUCAAGCAAUUAUCCUGCCUCAGCCUCCUGAGUAGCUGGGAUUACAGGUGCCCACCACCAUGCCUGGCUAGUUUUUAUAUUUUUAGUAGAGCCUGGCCAACAUGUCUCUACUUAAAAUACAAAAAAAUUAGCCUGGCGUGGUAGUACGCACCUGUAAUCCCAGCUACUUGGGAGGCGGAGGCAGGAGAAUUGCUUGAACCCGGGAGGCGGAGGUUGCAGUGAGCCGAGAUCACACCAUUGUACUCCAGCCUGGGGGACGAAAGCGAGAGUUCGUCUCCAAAAAAAAAGUUAAAAAAGUUAAUUUUAAUAGUGUAUCCUAUUUGACAGAAUAUAUCAAAAAUAUAGUUUCAGCAUAUAGUCAAUACAGAAUGUAUUAAAUAUCUUGUAUUCUUUUUUCAUUUCAAAUCUUCAAAAUCUGGUGUGUAUUUUACACUUUUAUGGUAUAUCAAAAUAAAUUUUCGUGGGGAAUUCUU
rnacentral:lncRNA from 1 species